GUAACAAUAUUACUUAGGCAAGUUUUAAAAUUUGGAUAAAGAUACACAGUUUCAACGUAGGAGAGAGAGUUAUUGAGGGUGAUAUCUGUCACCCUGAGCUGAGGAUGUGGUGGAGAAGGGUGCAGUGGACGAUAGGUUAACUGUUUUGAGGCUGAGUUUAGUCUGUAAGAUUCAGCUCGACAGUUUUUUUUUAAACCUUUAUUCGGUGAUAGAGUGUGUUUCAAUGUUCGUUUUGGUUUCAUUUAUAUGAGUGUUUUCUUUUUUUUUUCAUUUCCUACGCUGUCCGCCCAUUACAAAAGCAAGAUUAUCAGCGUAUUUUCUUGUGGCUCUCAGCAGCGGGAUUUUCAACGUGUGAUCUUCACAAAAGCGACGGUGUCGUACCGUUUACGUUGGGCCUUCAGCAUCUCAGAAGACGUUACCUCGCCGGAGUCGGACUGCUUUUGGAUUUACGUGGCUCUGUGGGAUGCGGUAUGAAGAUCGUUGCAUUCAAGUUUGCCGCCUCUACUUAACUGUGCAGGGUCUGGACUGUAGUCAGAUCUGUAUGACAGAUGUUACACUCGUUUUCUGCGGGUACGUCGCUAUCCAGUCUAUUUUUUCCAUUAACGUGGCUGAGUCAUAUGUAGUAUGAGUGUCAGAGACAUUGGAACCCGAAGCGACCCUAUUUGAGUGAGGGCUAGAAAAAUGAGGCCGGGAUUUACAGCGUGAUUCUCUGAAGGAUAUUCCUAGCUGUCAGAUGUUUACGGUUAAGGGAAUAAAUUAAUGUUUACUAAAGAGACCCAAGUGUCCAGAUACCUGGAUAUCUGGAGAACAAAGGCGUUCCUAAUUUUGCUUUAAAGAUAGUAAUAGGGAUUUUGUUUUUUUUUUUUUUUUUUUUUGAGACGGAGUCUCGCUCUGUCACCCAGGCUGGAGUGCAGUGGCCGGAUCUCAGCUCACUGCAAGCUCUGCCUCCCGGUUUUUACGCCAUUCUCCUGCCUCAGCCUCCCGAGUAGCUGGGACUACAGGCGCCCACCACCUCGCCCGGCUAGUUUUUUGUAUUUUUUAGUAGAGACGGGGUUUCACCGUGUUAGCCAGGAUGGUCUCGAACUCCUGACCUCGUGAUCCGCCCGUCUCGGCCUCCCAAAGUGCUGGGAUUACAGCUUGAGCCAUGCGCCCGGCCAAGUCCCUGGUCUUGACAAUCAGGCUGCUCAGGGAAAACAAUCAGGCUCCACAACUGCUUGCCACUGGGGCACAGUUCCUGGUAUUCCAGCAGUUCAGGCAGUAGUUCAACCUGACCCUAUACAUUCAGGCCAGGUUCAGCUAUGCCCUGCUACUUGGGAAAGUUUUUCUUUUUCUCCUCUCCUUUUUUUUUUUUUUGAGACGGAGUCUCGCUCUGUCACCCAGGCUGGAGUGCAGUGGCACGAUCUCAGCUCACUGCAACGUCCACCUCCUGGGUUCACACCAUUCUUCUGCCUCAGCCUCCCAAGUAGCUGGGAAUACAGGCGGCCUGCCAUCAUGCCCGGCUAAUUUUUUUUGUUUUUUUAGUAGAGACAGGGUUUCACUGUGUUAGCCAGGAUGGUCUCGAUCUCCUGACCUUAUGAUCCACCCACCUCGGCCUCCCAAAGCGCUGGGAUUACAGGCGUGAGCCACCGCGCCCGGCCAAGUUUUCUUUUAAAUAUUUCAAAGCACCAGUGAAGCAGUAUGGCACCAACUCCCCUUUUGUCCAUUCUAAAUUAAAAGCUCUAGCAGAAAAUAAACACAUUGGUGCCCUAUGGGAAAAUUUUAGCAAAGUCAGUCUUAUCUAAAUCCUAAUAUUUACAGUUCAGGAACUUGGUGGGUUGAUGCUGUCUGUCCAGGAAUGCAUUCGUCUUAGGACUCUAAUCCUCCUGUUAAUGUUAUGGCCAACCAAUUACUGGCAAUGGGCCAGUGGGCUGCAAUUCAAAACCAAACUAUACUAAAUGAUGAGGUUAUUGAACAAUUACAAAAAUGUUACCUGGACGUUUGGGGACAA
rnacentral:lncRNA from 1 species